rnacentral:tRNA from 2 species
CAAAUUAAAGCUUUAUAAAGUAUUUCAUUUACAUUGAAAAGAAAUUAUUAAUUUAAUUAAUUUGA